ensembl:lncRNA
CUUUCUUGUAGAUAGGAACGCGAGGGCCCAGAGCCCUCCCUCCCCCAUUCCCUUUUAAUUCAGUGGCUACGUAGGGGUUUCUUUGAUGGCAGCUUUGAAGUUGGUGGCUUUGAGAUUACUCUUCCUCUGUGACCUUGACCACCAGCCAUGAGGCUUGGGUGAAACUGGAUACCUGAGGAAGGUGGCAAAGAGGAUCAGGAAAGAAGAGAAGGAAGGUGGAACACUGAAGCAUAGACUACCUUCAACAGGAUUGGUUGAUGGUGAAAACCAUUACGAAGCAUGUAUACCUGAAUCCCUGAAUCGCUGUGUUGUACAGCAGAAAUUAUCACAACAUUGUACAUCAACUGCACUUCAAUAAAACUUUAAAAAAUGAGCAAAAAAGCACUCUUUGAGCAGCUG